rnacentral:rRNA from 1 species
CUUAGGUCUGAUGUGAAAGCCUUCGGCUUAACCGAAGAAGUGCAUCGGAAACCGGGCGACUUGAGUGCAGAAGAGGACAGUGGAACUCCAUGUGUAGCGGUGGAAUGCGUAGAUAUAUGGAAGAACACCAGUGGCGAAGGCGGCUGUCUGGUCUGCAACUGACGCUGAGGCUCGAAAGCAUGGGUAGCGAACAGGAUUAGAUACCCUGGUAGUCCAUGCCGUAAACGAUGAGUGCUAGGUGUUGGAGGGUUUCCGCCCUUCAGUGCCGGAGCUAACGCAUUAAGCACUCCGCCUGGGGAGUACGACCGCAAGGUUGAAACUCAAAGGAAUUGACGGGGGCCCGCACAAGCGGUGGAGCAUGUGGUUUAAUUCGAAGCUACGCGAAGAACCUUACCAGGUCUUGACAUCUUGCGCUAACCUAAGAGAUUAGGCGUUCCCUUCGGGGACGCAAUGACAGGUGGUGCAUGGUCGUCGUCAGCUCGUGUCGUGAGAUGUUGGGUUAAGUCCCGCAACGAGCGCAACCCUUGUUACUAGUUGCCAGCAUUUAGUUGGGCACUCUAGUGAGACUGCCGGUGACAAACCGGAGGAAGGUGGGGACGACGUCAGAUCAUCAUGCCCCUUAUGACCUGGGCUACACACGUGCUACAAUGGACGGUACAACGAGUUGCGAACUCGCGAGAGUAAGCUAAUCUCUUAAAGCCGUUCUCAGUUCGGACUGUAGGCUGCAACUCGCCUACACGAAGUCGGAAUCGCUAGUAAUCGCGGAUCAGCAUGCCGCGGUGAAUACGUUCCCGGGCCUUGUACACACCGCCCGUCACACCAUGGAAGUUUGCAAUGCCCAAAGUCGGUGGCCUAACCAUUUGGAGGGAACCGCCUAAGGCAGGGCAGAUGACUGGGGUGAAGUCGUAACAAGGUAGCCGUAGGAGAACCUGCGGCUGGAUCACCUCCUUUCUAAGGAA